CUGGAGUGUUCCACAUGAAGUAGGAGGUUGAGUUUCCAUAUUAUGGAAGGACCUUGUAAGCCAUUCUGAGAGCCCUUGGCAAACACACAUGCACAUUCACACACAGGCUCACACCCACAGGCGUAGUGAGAAUUUCGGUUUCUUUAAAAAUCCAGUUCUGUUGUGUGAAUAUGUUUUUAUCUUAAUCCCAAGUGUAGGAUAUGGGAUUGUCCGAUCUGCUUCAGACCAUCUACAGUGGCUGUGAUUGAAAAAGGAGAGGCUUGAAUUUUGCCAGCUGCAGAUAAUUUAUGUUUGGAAUUCUGGGGACUCUGGAGAAGUUGGCAAUUCAGGAUUCAUUCUCCCUUUUGGGAAAGAAUAGCUGCUGUUUAUCUCUGUCAAUCAAGCAGGCUGGUAGCAACGACGGCCUGGAACAAUCAGCCCUGGCACCACAGGCUUCCUCCCCCGUCUAAGCUGACACCAACUGCAGAAGUCUCUAACAAGGUCCGCGGCCAGAGAUGAAGAUGAUGAUCCGCCAUGCCCAGCAGCAAAAAAAUAUAUUAAAGGGGAAAAGAAACAGGGCAAAAUGGCCAAGGAACCAAUUUGGUGGGUCCCCUGUGGUCCAGGAUAGAGCAUUUAGCCUGGAAGAAGAAAACAAUGGUUUUGCUAUGUUAGAACACAACCGGCAUGUAAGAACCUAUGCGUCUCUAAUGAUACCGCAGUGGGAAAUGCCCACUGGUCAUCCUGGAAACUGAAUACCAAGUGAUUCUUUUCAAAGUUGACAUAUUAGUGACUUCUCGCUGUGGUGACAAAAUACAUCACAAAGGCAACUUAAGGAGGAAGGCAGGGUUUAUUUUGGUCAUGGUCUGAGUCUAUAGUCCAUCAUGGUGGGGAAGGCAUGGUGGUGGACACGUGAGGCGUCUGGCCACAUUGUAUCCACAGUCAGGAAGCAGUGAUGGAGGCUGGUGCUCGGUUCAAUGCCUCCUUUUCAUUCAAUCCAAUCUGUGAGUUGACAGCAACUACAACCUAGGUGAUCUUCCCUCCUCGGGUAAACCUCUCUGGAGACACCCUCCCAGGCACACUCGGAGGUGUCUCCUAGGUGACUCCCAACCUGGUCAAGCUGACGGUGAAGAAGAGACGGGUAUUAACUAUGCCGGACCUGUAUAGGUUUGUGUCAGGGUUCCCGAGUGGUUAACGAAGAAAGCUAUUCUUUAGAAGAGUCACAGUUGACAAGUUGGAGAACCAUAGAAUCAGGAAAUUACCACUGUGCCGUAGGGAUUGAAGUGUUAGAUCUGUCUAUCAAUCAUCUAUGACCAUGAAAGCUGCCAGAAAGAAGGAUGUGGG
ensembl:lncRNA